rnacentral:rRNA from 1 species
AUAACCGAUGGAAACGUCGCCUAAUACCCCGUAACAACGGAUCCCGCAUGAGAUCUGUUUGAAAGCUCCGGCGGAGACGGAUUGGCUCGCGUGACAUUAGCUAGUUGCGGGUAACGGCCCACCAAGGCGACGAUGGUCUAGGGGUUCUGAGAGGAAGGUCCCCCACACUGGAACUGAGACCACGGUCCAGGACUCCUACGGGAGGCAGCAGUGAGGAAUAUUGGUCAAUGGACGCAAGUCUGAACCAGCCAUGCCGCGUGCAGGAAUGAGGCCCCUAUGGGUCGUAAACUGCUUUUGCUGCGGAGCAAUAAGGUCUACGUGUAGUCCGAUGAGAGUACGCAGCGAAUAAGCAUCGGCUAACUCCGUGCC